rfam:Merops nubicus contig91741, whole genome shotgun sequence.
UGCCACAAUGAUGACCCAUAUUUGCUACUCUUGAUCAAGAGAAUGAUGAACACUUCAACCACCAUAACUUCUAUCUGAGGCA